UACGUAGGGGGGCUAGCGUUGUCCGGAUUUAUUGGGCGUAAAGAGCGUGUAGGCGGCCAGGUAGGUCUGCUGUGAAAACUCGAGGCUCAACCUCGAGACGUCGGCGGAAACCAUCUGGCUAGAGUCCGGAAGAGGAGAGUGGAAUUCCUGGUGUAGCGGUGAAAUGCGCAGAUAUCAGGAGGAACACCGGUGGCGAAGGCGGGCCUCUGGGCCGAUAUUGACGCUGAGGAGCGAAAGCGUGGGGAGCAAACAGG
rnacentral:rRNA from 1 species